CCUCAACCCCCCACUGAUGGUGGCCGUGCUGGCGGGCAGGCUUGCCGGAUCUUUUGAUUUUUCUAAAGAAGCUGAAACUCGAGAUUUUCUCGUAGAAUCUCCUGGUUUUUAUAGGCGAGCAACUGAUUCAAACACCAAACUUAGAAAACAGCUGGCGAGCCAGCCGCACAGAGAGGCUCAGUGGGGGCGGCGCUGCGGGCUCCCCUCGCAGGGAGGGAGGUGACCCUCGUGAGCUCCAGCACCGGCACUGCAGCAGGAGGAGAAGGGACCGUGGGCCUGGAGGCUGCACCCAGCUGCCCUGCAGCGAUUUCCAGAGAGGGACACGCGACGCACAGCAGGCCGCCGCCCCCUGCUCUCGUCCUCCCCGUGAGUGCUGGCUCCGGGGGCUCCUCAGCCCGCGGACGGGAAGGCUGACUCAGUGUGAACCUUCUGGAUUCCUGCCCCCACCACUCCGUCCCCCGUGCCCGGAGCCCCAGCGUCUGGCGAUUCCGGCUAAUCGUUUUCAGAUGGAUCCCGUGCGUGAUCUGCGGGCUCACAGAGCUGUCUUCACGUCACUGGUCCAGUGACCGCCAGGCGUGAGUGAAGAUGCCAGAGUGAAGAUGAGCAGAAGAAGGUGCCUCUGAGAGGGCGACCAGCCUGAGGUCACACGGUCCGGCCAUGGAGACCCACUGAGCGCCCGCCGGUGCACGCUGGGGACACAGCGCUCAGCAGAGGCAUCUUGUGUUCCAGGUGAUGACACCCGGGCCCCUCUGAGAGCACAAGGGACGGUCCCGAGGCCACCAGCUCCUCCGCAAGAGGACCGAGACGUAAAGGGGCGUCCUGACUCCUCCGUGAGCCUCCAGGCGGAAGAAGCAGCCUGGAUCCCACGGCAGGUCCCGCGGAAUCUCCAAAACGCAGGCCCGUGUUCCGUGUGUGACGAUGAGACUGAGCCGUGGAUGGAAACCUCUGGAGCCAGGACCCUGGCGGCGAAGGAUGAAAAGCUCACCCCCUCACCCCCAGUGUAGACAGGAGGAUUUAGUGGGCCAUGUAACUGGAAAGUUUUAAGGGAGCGUGACUUCAGCAAUGGCUGGAUCCAGGGCCCCAAAGACCCCAGGAGGACCCUCUUCCUCUCCCGGUCCUGCUUGCAUUCACAGGGUGACGGAAGCGCCCCAGGGACGCAGCUUAUGUCCCUCCAGCUCGGCAGGCUCCACAGAGAACGCAUCUCUGCUCCAGCCAUUUCAGUGGACGUUGCAGAGCUGACUCCCCUCCGUCCACAUCAGGCCACAGGGCCAUGCCCGAGCCAGUCACUGUGCUCAGGGGACGCUCUGCUGGUGGGCUGUCCCCGGAGCCCGCGCUGUGGGACCUCUCCUCCUCCUCCCCCGGGCUGAAACUGGGAGCCAGGUGGCCCCCAAGGAAACAAGGAGAUGAGAAAGCCAGGAUGAGGAGGCGAGGACGCCCCUGCAGGCCCCCAGGCCCGUGGGUGUGGGAGACCAGGUGGCCUGGCACCAGAAGGUGGGCAGAGGGGUGGGCGCGGGGCGGAGGCACGAGGGGCCUGGGCACCGGCUGCGGCCUCCUUCCCUGGCCUCCCCUGCUCCUCCCGCCGUAAACAGCCCCUCCGUAUCGCCGUGGGGCCGGAGAUAAACCGCGAGUGAAAUAGAAAACAUCGUGCGUCAUGGCGCUUCCACUCUCCGUGGUAGACGGUCAACAAAAUAAAUACGUAAAGUCUAAGCUGUACCAGUCGGGGAUGAAUCUUGGGAAGAAAAACAGAGCAGGGAGGGCGGGAGUGAGCGCAGGGUGGGCGUAACUUUAGAUAGGGAGAGCAGGCCUCCCAGGAAAGGCACCCUCAGAGUAAACAGCAGGUAAAGAAGUGGACCAGGCAGGAAUCUGGAGGAAGGGUAUUCCGGGAGACAGGAGCAGCCUGUCCAAAGGCCCUGGGGCAGGCGUGUGCUUUGGGGCACAGCCAGGCAACUAGGGAGACCAGAGAGGACGAGAGAGGGGAGAGUGGGAGGAGCUCAGUUUGGAGAACAAUGGAGGGCAUGCGGGCAGAUGUGGAGGGCGCUGUAGCUGCAAUAAGGCUGAGUUUUACUCCGGGGCAGUGGGAUCCAUUGCAGGCGUGUGGGCAGAGGAGUGACGUGCCUGCCUUGGAUUCAGGAGGGCGCAUCUCUUCACUGCGUGGAGAACAGACUGCAGGGGCGAGAGCGGGAGCUGACCAGAGCCUGCUUAGGGAGAAGGGAUCCUGGCGUCAGCAGUUUCUCGGGUACUGCUGACAGGGUCCACCGACGGAGCAGACACGGGGUGUGCAAGACUGAGGGGUCCACACGGCCCUGGGGGCCCCAGCUCCUGCCUCGGCCCGGCCGGCUCAGAUGGCAAGAAACGGGACACCCAGAAGCUUCUAGAAGUCAGCUGAAUUCGGUUUUGAGCCCUGUUCUGUGGCAACAGAGCCAUGGGGAGUCUGGGAUCUCCCCGCUCUCCUCCCACCACGUCCCAGGGAUGGGGUCCGGUUGCGGCACUCGGGGCAGCAACAGUCUGGGGCCCUUGGCAAAAGGUCCCCGAAGAAGUCCUCAGGGUGCCCCGGUCCCUCCCGCCCCUGGUGCUGGGCUGGCUCCAGCCGCACUGGCCUGCUCUCUGUUGCCCAGACACACAAAUGAGCACCUGCCUCAGGGCCUUCUCACCUGCGGCCCUUGCUCCGUCCACCCGCAUCACUUCACCUCACUCCUGCUCAGCAUCAGGGCCCCAGAGGGUCUCAUCUCUGCCCUAGUGCAGUCGAGCCCCCAGCUCUGCUCCCCCCUGCCUCCUGGAACCGGUCCUGACACUCGUCACAUCUGGAGGGAGAGGCAGGCAGCACAGUGGUGAGAGCACAGACCCCGGCGCAAUCCUGGCUCUCUCCCUGAAGAGCAGUGUGACCUUGACUGAGUCCCUGACCUCUCGCAGCCUCGUCUAUAACGUGAGGAUACGGAUGGUGGCACCUGCGGGGGUGUCGGGAGGCUACGGGGGGCCCUGUGGCAGUGCCUGGACGCAGCAUGGGACCCACGAUCCUCGUCAUGUGCGAUUACCGGUCCCCAGGGCGCCGCCCCGCCAGGCUGCAGCUCAGGGGCCGGGCCGGGCUCGCCUUCCCCCGUCGCCCCUGGUUUGCAGGUGCACCUGGGGCUGCACAGAAGGUCCAGGCCAGAGCGGAGGACGAGCAUUGCAUGUGGAUGGACGAUGUUUGAUCCC
rnacentral:lncRNA from 1 species